rnacentral:rRNA from 1 species
CCUACGGGAGGCAGCAGUUAGGAAUCUUCCGCAAUGGGCGCAAGCCUGAGGGAGCGACGCCGCUUGGAGGAAGAAGCCCUUCGGGGUGUAAACUCCUGAACCCAGGACGAAACCCCCGACGAGGGGACUGACGGUACCGGGGUAAUAGCGCCGCCCAACUCCGUGCCAGCAGCCGCGGUAAUACGGAGGGCGCGAGCGUUACUCGGAUUCACUGGGCGUAAAGGGCGUGUAGGCGGCCUGGGGCGUCCCAUGUCAAACACCACGGCUCAACCGUAGGGGAGCGUGGGAUUCGCUCAGGCUAUACGGUGGGAGAGGGUGGUGGAAUUCCCGGAGUAGCGGUGAAAUGCGCAGAUACGGGGAGGAACGCCCAUGGCGAAGGCAGCCACCUGGUCCACCCGUGGCGCUGAGGCGCGAAAGCGUGGGGAGCAAACCGGAUUAGAUACCCGGGUAGUCCACGCCCUAAACGAUGCGCGCUAGGUCUCUGGGUCCCCUCGGGGCCGAUCCUAACGCGUUAAGCGCGCCGCCUGGGGAGUACGGCCGCAAGGCUGAAACUUAAAGGAAUUGACGG